rnacentral:lncRNA from 1 species
AAACAUACCACUCAUAUAAAUAGAACAACCAUUAUUCUCAAAUUUAAAUGAGUAGCCAUCAUGCAUCAAGCGAGAUCCCGAUACAAUGUUCAUGCUCAAAGCUGGUACUAAAUAACAAUUAUGAAGGUCUAAAACUAACCCCGAAGGUAGAUGUAGAGGUAGCGUGCCGACGACGAUCACAUCGACCUUGGAACCAUUCC